GCAGUUUUGUAGAAGUGGGGAGAUUAUGAACAUACAAUGUUACUGUAAGGAUAAAACUGGACAAUAUAUGCAAAAGUGCUGGGCACACAGCUCAUGCUAACUAAAUGCUAAUUUCCUCAUUAUUUGUUACUGCUCCUCUUUGCAGUCCCUUCAUUGUGACUUCUGCACUUGUGAGGGCCUACAUAUUCACUUUUGAAACUCCCACCAUCAUGAGUUCUCCCUUAAUAGAGACCUGUUUGCUUCUCCUCUGCCUAUACAUGUGGUACGUGGCCUGAUGUAGGCCCCGGUAUCUGCUGUCAAAGUAGUGUUUCCCCUUUGGCCACCUGCUCAUUGAAGAGGUAUGAGCAUCAGAGAUGUCUGUUUGCCCACCAGUAUCUAUCUUUCCCAUUCCAUGAUGUGGAGUGGUAGCUGCCAGAUAGCUGCCCAGUCAGGAACUAUAUUUCCCUUGUGUCCAGCUGUGGCCAUGUGACUAGGUCUCACCAAUGGAAUGGGAUUUGGAGUGACUUGUCAUUUGUAGGCUGAGACUUUAAGCAAAGGACAGGCUGUAUUCACUCCAUGCCCUCUUUCCCUUUUUGCUUUCUGGUGCAGAGGGCUCUGAAGUUCCAGAGAAGGGCUUCUCAAACUUCUGUGUACAUGAUUCACCCACACCUGGGGAUCUGCUGAAAAUGCAGGGCUAGUAGAGUAGAUCUAUAGCAGGGCCUGAGAUCUUGCAUUUCUAACAGGCCCCUAGAGAUGGCAGUGCUGCUGAUGCUCAGACUACUUUUCAGAAGCGAGGCUUUAGGAGAUGGUGGAACCAUAGAAUAAAAGGAACAUGGGUCUCCAAAUCACUAAAUAAAGAAAAUCUACUUCUUCAGUCAGCAACUCCUGACUUGUUACCUGUGUGACAGGUGCCUUUUUGGACAGCAGCUGGUCUUCUGGAAGUGGUUCACACAAUUCACUGCUUCUGUUUGAAAACAUCUUGGCCAACUAAUUUAGAACAAAAUCACCCCCAGCUGUCCCCAUCCCUCCUUGGUAUAUGUGUGUGUGUGUGUUCCAGAUGACUGCUUCAUGUUUUAAGAGAUCCCUACCUAACUCUACUUUAAAACACUACCAAGCCCUCAUACCAUUAGCUCCUUGAAAAUAGCAAUGGUUAAGGAAAAAAAAAACAGAACAAAAAAGGUCUUGGUUUUUGUAUUUGUUGGCUCAGAUUAAAAUCAGAGAGCAAAAAUAAGGUUUGGGAUGGUUGUGAACGACCACCUUCUGGAGGAAAGGUUAGUGGAGAGCAGACCAAGAGGGUCUUUAAUCCUGAGGGGUCAGUAUAGGGAUCUCAGGUAGAGUCUCUUAAACAAGGGGCCAGUGGGUGAGUAUCAGGGCCCUGGUGUAGGCUGAAGGGCCAAGGUUGGCUGGACCAGCUCAGCUGAAAGUGCAGUCACUCAAAGGUUGCUUGACAUGAAUAACAGGAGACUUGGCAGGUAGUCAAAUGGGAUUGGUGAUGGUGGUGGUGGUGGUGGUGGUGGUGGUGGUGUGUGUGUUUGUGUGUGUGUGAUUGUGAAGAGCUAGAAUUGGAGCAGAGAGGCAGAGGGAGUCUGGACCAGUACAAGGCCAAAAUCCACAGGGGCCUUUUGCAUGCUUCCAGCAAACAUUUACAGUGAGGAGGCCAAGUUCAUCUAAAGAAUGCUGACCAGCUGGACACAUUUUGCUAGAGUUUAGCCAAGGAUAUUAGUGGAAAGUCCCUCCCUGCAUUUUGAGCAAGGAUGGCUGGAACAAGAAGGCCUGCCAUAUCAUUGUUGCUCUGGCCCUGACCUUACCUUCCAGAAAUAACAGCUACAGCCAGGUCGUGCUCAAGCCCUGCUGGCUUUGGGACGAGUCUGGGCCUGAACAUGAGCAAGAGAAAGUCAAGGGGAAAUAGUUACAUCAACUUAUUUUGAAUACAUCACGUGGGUGAGUUGCAGAGGCUAGCCUUUAUCCCAAGUAGUGCUCAAAUAACAUCAUCAAGCCAUUCUAUCAGUAUUUUGUAGAAACAGCAGCAAAAAAAGUGAGAAAAAUUGCAAACUGUCCAUUUUGACUAGUCAGGGCCAGUUACUAUGUUGACAGCCAUUCUUAUUCAAGAUAAACUAUAUUGGAUUUAGAGAUGAGGCCAAUUUUUAAAAAAUAUAUCCAAUUUUCAGCAACUAUUCUGAGUGCCUAUUCUGUUAGGCAUCAUGAGGAUUAAUUAUAGAAACAUGAGCUGAAUCUUCAGUCCAUACUUUGAUGAUGGAGGAAACAAUGGAGGACCUAUAAGAAACCAAAAGGCUAUUCUACGGUGGACUUAGACCUGACAAAAGUGACAGCUUUAGAGGAGGGACACAUUUGUCCAUUGGCCCAGUCCCCACCUGGCUCUCUUCAUUUUUUCAUAUUUCCUGCCUGACCUUGGAGCCAUUUGAUUCAUGACAUAUCCAUUAUCAUGUUCACAUGAGUAAAAAGUAAAAAGUCCUGGAAAAGCAUGGGAAAACCUGGAAUCUAAUCCUGCCUCUGGCAUUUACCAAGAUGGGGUUUGAGAUCAACUACUUGAUCUCUCUGAGCCUCAUUUUCUCCCUUUAUAAGAAAUGGAAGACUUGAAACCAGAUGCCUACUUGAGCAAAUACUUCAGAGAAGAUCUUCAUUUAGAGGAUAAUCAGCAAAAAAAAGAAUAUGUGCUGACCUUCAGGCAGUCGUGUGCUAGGCACUGGAGAUGUGAAGAUGAACAAGACACGAUUAGUGACUCCAGGAACUCAUCGUGUACAAUUUCAGAAUUCUGGACUUCCAGGGGCAAGUACGGAGUGCUGUGGGGUGGGCACAUGAAAAUCAAUUGUUCUGUAUUUGGGACGUGGAGAGGGCUUUAGUUUGAGUUUAAAAGGAGCAUAGACACAGAAAUAGAGAAGACUAUCCCAGAAAGUGGAAUCAGCAAGUGCUGGGUGGAUUGUGGGGAUGGUGAGGGGUGUCUGGGAUAGCAGAAGAAGAGAUAGCUGGGAGAGCAGGUCGGGGAGAACUUCACUGGAAAGAGAGUUGGGAAGCUUUUAAGCAGGAGGGUGAUAGGGAGGAUCUUCCUCCUUAUCUAACAGGUUGAGUCAUUCACUGAUACUGACAAAGGAAUUAUACUUGAACUAACACUUAACUAACUGCAUGUUGCUUCGAUCAGAGUAUCAUGUUGUUUUAGAUUCUUUUAUAAAUAAAUCAAAUUUCCUUUUCUCUUACUGGUAUUGGCAAGCAGAAGCAUGAUCACUCUUUGGCUGAGAAAUACUAUUAAUCUUGCUGUAAAUGAAUAUUUAUUCAAUUAUCUACUCUGUGCCAAGCAACUGUGUCGACUGCUGGGAAUUCAGCAUGAACAAGAUGACAUUCUUGCCCUUGCAAAGCUUGUUAUAUGAAGUAGAUAUAGAACAAAUGAUUUCAAAUGUGAUGGACCAUCAAAAGAAAAGUUUUUUAAAAAGUAAAGGGUGCUACAGAAGCAUUUAAUGGGGUGCUAACCUCAUUUAGGAGUUCAGGGAGGCCUCCCUGAGCAAAUGGUCUUGAAGUGAAAACUAGAUCGAUUAAAAUUUUAUUAUUAGCAGCAAUGUCAUCCCCUAUUUCUUCAAUAAUUAGCCUUUUUUUCAAGUCGUUGCUUCUCUUCUGCUUUGAAUCAUGCCUACUUCUUGCCUAAUGUGAAGAGAGAGAAAACCCAAAUCUUUCACUUUCACAUACCCCAAACUAAACUUUUCAGUAUAUUCCAGAGUGAGCCUCACAAUUUGGACUUCCCUGCAUUCACACAUUCACACCCUCAUUCCUGUGUGCUUGGCACUGGAGGGGACUCCAGAUAGACUCCCACAGUGCAAACCCAGGAUGUGAGCUGUAGGGUGACCUGAGAUGAAGUGACAAUGAGCUUCCUCAUUUGAAGGACAUGCAGAGGGACAUGGAGUUCAUUCAGCAGGUGUUGGAGACUCACUGGAGGGUCUGAGUUGGACUUUGUAAUGUCAGGACUCAUGAACAUGGGAGACAGGAAAGAGAAUUGAAAUCUAGAGUUGAGGCAGCAUAGAUUUGUAUUUUAGCUUUACUACUGACUAGCCGUGUAGCUUUGGGCAAAUGACCCAACUUCUCUGUGCCCAAAUGAUACAUUAUCUACCUUAGACAUCUGUUGUGAAAAUUAAAAUCACCCAAACUUUUGUAAAAACUAAGUGAGGAUCUACCAUUUUGGGGCACAUAGUAAGCACUUGUAAAUAAUAGCGAUAAUAAUGAACAAACAAAACAAAACAAAAAAAACCCAGCUAACAUUUGCUGGGCAUUUACUCUUAAUGCUAAAUGUCGUGCAUGCAUUCUGUCAUUCAAAUUGCACAACAAAGCACCUGAGAGAGGACCAGAGCCCAGGAGGCAUUCGGAUAAAAGGAACUGUCAUGAAGGAUCCCUGCUGGGAUCACAGGCCUGACCCUGAACUUAGGACCCCAAGGGCUGCUGUAAGCUUAGCAGCAUGUCCCCAGUUAUUGCACCCUUUUUUCCCCACCAGGCAGCUGAUAACGCCAGAGAACCCUUACUCCCUACCUAUUGGUUUGUGAAAACCUCCUGCAUCUCCCCUGCUCUGAUAGUCAAGAACAAAUGAUGAUACUAUUUGAAACCAUCUGAGCCCUCAUUCAUGUUCAUGUUAUAGUUCCCAAGAAGUGUGGCGGACAAGGGUCUGUGUGGCACAGGGCACGGAUUGGUGGGAAGGGAGGGAGUGACAGGAGCCUGGGCUUGACAACAUUGGAGAGACCAGCUGAAGACAGAAGGCGGUCUGGGUGGGAGGGAGAUGGGUGGGGCUGUGGGAAGUAGUGAGUCUGCCUCAUCUUAAUUUUUUUUUUUUUUUUUUAACAUUUAUUCAUUUUUGAGAGAGAGACAGAGUGUGAGCAGGGAAGGGCAGAGAGAGAGAGGGAGACACAGAAUCUGAAGCAGGCUCCAGGCUCUGAGUCGUCAGCACGGAGCCCAACGCAGGGACUAUGAGAUCAUGACCUGAGGCGAAGUCAGAGGCUUAACUGACUGAGCCACCCAAGCGCCCAGAGUCUGCCUCACCUUGAAAAGGAGAGUUUGGGCUGGGUUUUCAUUAAUGCUGCCUAUGAAUUUUCAUUUUUGCAAAUAAAGUCUCAGAACUUCCUAGAAACAAACCAAUGGGUAUCAAUUUCUGUAGCACUUAGGGCUCAUACAAAAUGUCCUAUUUCACACGGGUUUAAUUUCAUUUUAGCAAAAGGUAAGGCUGUUUAUUGAAGACAUUUCUCCAGAAAUAAAGAUGAACGGAGGAAAAAUACCCGACACUCUAUUGAACUAUCACUGCAGAUGAUGGUUCAUCAGGGCCUGGGAUUUGUACAGGUCUGUGCACUUGCAGAAAAACCCUACUGUGCCAGCUUGCUCCGCCGAGUGCUCAGGCAGCAGCCUAAACAAGGGGCUGCAGACAGGCAGGGGAGCCAAAGGCUGGCUUGGGAGGAGGAUAUUGGCAAUUGGGUGCAGAGGGUGAAUUGUUGGCAGCAGUGCAGACUCAGACAUGAAGGCCAAAUUUGUGCAGCAGGCUCCCUUCUGAACAAUACACAUCUGCUGAAAGAGGAGGACCCAGUUCCUGGGCUGUGUGCACAUUUGCAGCCUAAACGCUUGGCUCUUUGUCUCUUCAGCUUCAGUAUCACCUCCUCCGAGGCCUCUCUCACCACCUUGUCCAAAGUGGUUAUUUUCUGGUGCAGGUCCUUAGUCUCGUUCACAACAUUGACUACAAUUUAUUUGUGUGUCUCUCUUGCUAGAAUAUAAAUCCUAUUUGACACAAACUGUGAUCUGUCUUGUUUGCUGUUGCAACUUAAGUCUCUGACAGUACUGGGUGCAUACUACCAAGUGUUCAAUAAAUAUCAGUUGGAUGAAAAAUAAAUAGAUCGGCCAAAGAUCACUCAUUCCCCUUUCUUGAAAGUGGCAUAGCAGCCAACUCUAGUAAUUUCCAGAAAUGUGGAGAAACCUGGUAUAUUUGUAAUAAAUGCAUGUGAAUUGCAGGGGAGCAAGAUUUACCACCCCAAAAUGUGUUUCUUUGGCAUGAGGAUUAUUUUAGGGUGACUAUUUUUGAGAAACAAAGACUCAAGAAGUUUUUCUUUCUGCCUGCCCCCCUAAACUGCCCCAAAACAUUUAGACAGGGGAGGCUGCAACAAAAAGAGAGUUAUCACCAGAGAUGCGGUUCUUUUAUAUCAGAAAGACUUCUCAGUGUGGCAUGGCAAACAUCUGCUCUUGCUGUCUUUCUGUGAAUUGUCUUCGUCUCCCAACCCCUCUACCCUCUUCUCCUUAGCUCAGGUAGCAUAUAAACCUCAUUUACCUGGCUGCCUGUGGAUCUCAUGUUCUCUGGGACCCCUCUACAUAUAUGAUUGAAUGUGUUUUUCUUGUUAAUCUGUCUCAUGUCAAUCUGAUUAGACCACCAGAAGAAUGUAGAAGGGUAGAGAAAAAAAUUUCCCUCCCUGACAGUUGGCAGGAUUUACUUCAUGGUGUGGACACUGCUCAUUCUGAGGCUGCUAUAGCUGAGACAUCCUGACACCUCGGACAAACAGCAUCAGAAGGUAAGAAUUCUUACCACAAGGGUUUCCUGGAUCUCUGCUGACAGGGUCUGUUGGAAGCAAGCAUGAUGAGAGUCUCCUCCCCCCUUUUCCCCACCCCCUAAAUUUAGCUUAGCAGGAUAAAGUAUUUGUGGAACUAGUUCCUUGGACAUAGGAACUCUAGUUAAAAUUUGGUAAUGAGUACCCUUGACUUUUAUCCAUUGUUUUCCUCCCAAAGAUGGUCCCUGUUUUUGUCUCUGCCUUUUGUGUAGUUUGUCAUAAGGAGGAAGAGCCAUAGGGCAGAACACAGGCAUAGGCACCAUAAGCCCGCUAUUCGAGCGUGGCUCACAGACCAUGGUUACCAGACCGGCAUCUGUGCAAACAAACUUGGCCGUGAGUCCCCUAUGUAAAAACUGGAUGGGGUUUUUCCUUUUGUCUUAUUCCAUGUCCUGAGAAUUUGGCUUUACGACUAGUGAGAAUAUUCUCUUUGGUCUCUGCCAUGCAGAAGGUACACUUACCAGGGUGCACCAGCUGAAUAGAGUGGGGUUCCAUGGCACGGACUCCCAAACAGCACUCUCUUCAUCCAACCAUGCCAGCUCUCAGGGGAGUUUGCCAUAAAGGGUCCCAGUCCAUAAGGAGCCCUUGUAGCCUCAACCUUCCUUUCUUUGUUAGUGCUGGGAAAGUCUCAUUCCAAUAGCACCUGCCUGGUGUCACAGAUUAGCAGGUUUGUGACUGGAGGCAUCUCGAGUAUUCACUACACCGUCCUUACCACCUGUGCAACAAAGGCUUUUGCUUUCCUAGGCAAUCUUUGGGAAUGAACUUGCUGGAUCUUGUGAGGGCUGCAUAUUUUGUAUUCUCUUGUGGGAUGCUUCUUACGUCCUUGGUCAAGCCAUAAAAAAGCUUAUUAGUUUGAGUUGCUAUUGAGAUUAAUAGAUCCUACUUGUCAAUGGCCAGAGGAUGGAUUUUUGAAUUGAAAACUUCUAUAGUUGAAAAAUUUUGGAGAGCUCUCAUCCUAAACUAUUGUCUUACUGGCGUCUGUGGAAAAGACCAAAUUAAAAAGUGGAUACAAAGAAUUUUAAUGGCUAGCCUUAGGGACUCCUUUUUACAAGAUGAAAGAACAGAAAUUAAAACUCCACAUUCAAUGUAAAUUCCUCCUUCCUAAAAUCCAAAGAAUUAAGCAUGCCACCUUCCAGCACACCUGCUUAUUUGAUGUCUGAGAACUGCUGUUCCAGAAACUGUAGAUACAAAAAAAAAAAAAAAAAAAAAAAAAGGCACAAUCUUACUAAAUUUGUUCUAUGCAUGGCUUGGGCUUUCUGUGUGCCUGAGAUUUGCAGGCUCUCCGUUCUUUUGACUGACUUUGGGUCUUGAGAAGGUAGUAUCCUUUGCACCCUUUUUAAAGAUGCCUCUUUGAUGCAUGAAGUUUUUUCCAUAUUGCCCAAAUAUAUAUUGUUUGUCCAAGCUAAAAACUGACAAGAUAUUUAAAUGCCGUUUUUUGUGGGGGAAGGGUAGUAGUAUUUUGGUUAAAAGUUGAUUAGAAGUUGGAAGCUGAUCUUCAAAGCCUGAUAGGAUUUUUUAAAGUCUCUUCCCCAAACCUAAAACUUAUGGGCCCAGAGGGAGAGAAGCAAAUGGAGACAAUGUAACUGGACGGUGGGUCAACCCUUUAAUAUCAUUUAGGCUGCAACCUAACUCUUUGGGGAAAAAAAAUUGAGAGCAACUGUUCUUAUCUUAUAAAUCUUUGCAAAAUGAAAAAUAAAAUGUAGUUCUGGAGGUAAUACAAGGUCCCAUCUAUUCCUUUAAAAGAUUUUUUUUUUCAUGUUUAUUUAUUUUUGAGAGAGAAAGAAAGAAGAGAGACAGAGCGCAAAGCUGGGGAGGAGCAGAGAGAGAGGGAGACACAGAAUCCAAAGCAGGCUCCUUCCAGGCUCUGAGCUGUCAGCACAGAGCUGAAACUCACCUGAGCCACCUAGGUGCCCCAUCAUCUAUUCCUUUUUACCAAUCUUAAAACCUUCCCAGUUUAUCUCAAAAGGCUUGUGAGUUGUUGGCCUUAGGAAACCAAAGUCCUUCUUGAAGGAACUUCCAUUCUUUCUUUGUCCCUUGAAGAUGUAAAUCUUACUAUAUCUUUGAAAGGUAAACACCCCAGGAGAUACCUAAAACAAUGCCCACAUUUGCCUAAAACUAAAGGGGAAAAAAAGAAGAAAAGAAAAGAAAAGGAAAGGAAAGGAAAGGAAAGGAAAGGAAAGGAAAGAAAAGAGAAGA